UAUCAAUCAGCNGANGAAAAGAAACCAACAGGGAUUCCCUUAGUAAGGGCGACUGAAACGGNAACAGCCCAGCGCAGAACCUCCGGCCUCACCNGGCCGGAGGGGUGUUGCGUUCCGGAGGGUCCGGCCUGCUCGCCCGCACUACCNNNUAAGUCACUUUGGAAAGAGGCCAUCAAUCCGUGGAGGGUGAUAGGCCCGUGUGGUUGGAUCGUCCUUGCUGGGAUGCCAGCGGGCGGGCGGAUGGGACCUCUCCGUAGAGUCGGGUUGCUUGAAAGUGCAGCCCAAAGCAGGUGGUAAGCUCCAUCUAAGGCUAAAUAUGACCACGAGACCGAUAGCGAACAAGUACCGUGAGGGAAAGUUGAAA
rnacentral:rRNA from 1 species